UCUGGAGAGGCAUAUCCUUGGAUGGACACACAGACCCCUACAAGCUAGGCAACGACGCUCUGACAGCCAUUAGGUGCUGGGAUGAAAUCUUUGGCCCUAUUGUGAGAUUCGAAGUUAAUGCAGUGAGUCCUGAGUUCCUCCUGUGCUCAACAAUGCCCAGCCUCAUGUGAUGAGAGUAUGUUGUACCUCAGCAUGUAAAGCAGCUCAGUGAUGCCCUGGUCCAGAUCUGGGAGGAGAUUCCCAAGACACCCUCUGUCGUAUUAUUAGGAGCAUGCCCUGACAUUGUCAAGGAUGCAUACAAACAUAUUUGUGUCUGGGGUCUGCAUUAGGGACUUUUAAUGCACCACCUGACAAGCCGGCACAUACACCAGCCCCCAUGACCCUGAACUGGAUAAGCAGAAGAAAAUGGCUGGAUGGACCGUUAUUGUUUGUGAACAAGGUUACAUGAUUCAGUCCUCUCCUGUUCCUUUCUUUCUCUACUUACAGCAAAGCUGGAUAAUGCCACAGAGUAACCACUAUGGUGGUUGGUAAUUGGACCAUUAAGCAAGUGCAACAUUAAUUCCCUCAAAUCCUGCUCCCUCUGUUAACUGAAUGUCAUUUAAAUUGUAUUUAAUCAGCUACUGUUGUUGUAAAAUACACAUCUGU